UUCUCACACUGUGAAUACAUCCUGGAGUAAGAUGAUACAGUGAAGAUUAGCAUGACCCCUGUGUAAGAAGGACACAGCAGUACCUGAAGUAUUGCAUAUUUGU